rnacentral:rRNA from 1 species
UGGGGAAUAUUGGACAAUGGGCGAAAGCCUGAUCCAGCCAUGCCGCGUGUGUGAAGAAGGCCUUUUGGUUGUAAAGCACUUUAAGCGAGGAGGAGGCUACUAGUACUAAUACUACUGGAUAGUGGACGUUACUCGCAGAAUAAGCACCGGCUAACUCUGUGCCAGCAGCCGCGGUAAUACAGAGGGUGCGAGCGUUAAUCGGAUUUACUGGGCGUAAAGCGUGCGUAGGCGGCUGAUUAAGUCGGAUGUGAAAUCCCCGAGCUUAACUUGGGAAUUGCAUUCGAUACUGGUUAGCUAGAGUGUGGGAGAGGAUGGUAGAAUUCCAGGUGUAGCGGUGAAAUGCGUAGAGAUCUGGAGGAAUACCGAUGGCGAAGGCAGCCAUCUGGCUUAACACUGACGCUGAGGUACGAAAGCAUGGGGAGCAAACAGG